GGGGGGCUGCAAGAAAAAAAAGAGGCUGCAGGCCUGUCUAACAAAGACGUUCCAACCAGCCCUUUGCCGCUUCUGAAUCCACCUCAUUAGUCGGCCGAGUAAGUGCUGAUCAUCUCAAAAGUGUCUUCAGCACACAACAGUGUCUUCCUGAUGUGCGGCAGGAACGUUUUGGAACUGGGGAGUAUUUUUCACCGCAGAGAACCGAAGAGGACAAUGCCUCCAUUUUGUUUGAGCCGCUGCAGCACAAACUGAAAUUGACACAGCGAUUGAAAAUGAAAAAUUCAACCCGCGGAGGAAACGUCCGAGCUGCGUGUGAACAGAUCAGUAGGAAUAAUAUCUGCUGGCAAACAUCUGUCACAUCCACUAUCGGACUCGCAGCACAGAAGGUCCUGCAUGUUUCAAAGUUUCCUCCGUAUCACAGAGAAUAAGGAGAGCAUUUAGCUUUUUCUGAAUGUCAAACUGAUAACUAGGAUCCAGCGACAUUAGUAUUCGUUCUCGUUCUGCUGGUCCUUUCAAACGCAGCAGAUGUGUGUUUCUAUAUUUGCAAGUUGUCAGACCUGCUCAGAAGCAAAUGGCGGAAAGAGAUUAAAAAAGGGAAAAACAUCUGCUCGGUCUGCUCUCGAUAUUUUCAAUAUCAUUUUACAGAAACAUACAGUAAACUGAAAAAUAAAUCGUAAUACUUUCUUUGAUGUUAUGGAUCUGAGCCUGAACGUGUUAUUUCCAUGGCUGUAUUAGCAUGCACUUAGUCAAACUCAAGCUAUUUGGACAAGCGUGUGCUAUUGUCGUCGCAGAUCUCGCCACUUGUCUAUUGAGUCACAACCGACCCAACUGGUCUCGCGUCCGCCAGCAGGCCCACCGACCUGCAGCCUGACAGUCACACCUGCUGUGCUCUGGGACCACUCAGCUGUUUUAGCAAUCAUUGCCAUCACAGCAAGCAGAGAUAAUUACACAGCUUCCCCCCACCAGGCAGGCUGGCCCGCUUCAGUAAAACCGUAUUGCUCCACUGCAGCAAUAACACUUGUCUAAAUGAAUGCAGGACACUUUACUGCACGUCUGACAGCGCCCAUUUAUUCUGUCAUCCUGCCGGAAUGAAAAAACAAAUUAAUUUGGCACUUAAGGCCCCCACCUAUGUGAAUAAUACAUCACCCUCCCUUUAGACUGCAACCCCCACCUCCAAAUCCCCACCA
ensembl:lncRNA